CGCCGUCAAGUCUCUCAAGCUCUCCGUCUCUGAUCUUCCCAUGCUCUCCUGCCACUACAUCCAGAAGGGCGUCCUCCUCGACUCCCCGCCCUUCUCCGUCGUCGACCUCCUCCCCUCCCUCAAACACUCCCUCUCCCUCGCCCUCUCCCACUUCCCAGCCCUGGCCGGUCGAUUCGAGACGGACGCAGACGGUCACGUCCACAUUGUCUGUAACGACACCGGCGUCGGUUUCGUGCACGCCAAAGCCAAGAACCUCUCUCUGGACGCCGUCCUGCAGCCCAACGCCGACGUUCCACAUUGCUUCAGGGAGUUCUUCGCGUAUCAAAGGACUUUGAGCUACUCCGGCCACUUCAGACCUCUAGCCGCCGUACAGGUCACCGAGCUCGCCGACGCCGUGUUCAUCGGAUGUACGGUCAACCACUCCGUCCUUGACGGCACAUCCUUCUGGCACUUCUUCAACACCUUCGCCGAGAUUAACCGAGGCGCCAAGAAAAUAUCAAAAUCUCCUGAUUUUUCCCGCGACACCGUCUUCAACUCGCCGGCGGUGCUCCAUUUCCCAGAAGGAGGCCC
rnacentral:lncRNA from 1 species